rnacentral:rRNA from 1 species
AAUCCACUCUCCUAACGCCGAGAGGUGAUAACGAUGUCUUCGGACUAUCAAGCGAUCCUAAUCAGACUGCCAAGAAAACCCUCUAUGGAAGUUGCUUUGCUGACCGUACCGCAAACCGCCACAGGUAGGUGAGGAGAAUAUCCUAAGGUGCGCGAGUUAACCCACGUUAAGGAACUAGGCAAAAUGACCCUGUAACUUCGGGAUAAAGGGUGCCGCUUUUAGGUGAGGCAAUUUACUUGCUAAGCUGACCGCGGUCACAGAAAAGAAGCUCUGAUGACUGUUUACUAAAAACAUAUGUCUCUGCCAAGCCUCAUAAGGCAAUGUAUAGGGACUGAUACCUGCCCGGUGCUGGAAGGUUAAGAGGUGGGGUUAGACACUUCGGUGUUGAAGCUCUAAAUUGAAGCCCCAGUAAACGGCGGCCGUAACUAUAACGGUCCUAAGGUAGCGAAAUUCCUUGUCGGGUAAGUUCCGACCUGCACGAAUGGUAUAACAAUUGGAGCACUGUCUCAACGUGGGACUCGGCGAAACUGUAGUAGCGGUGAAGAUGCCGUUUACUCAUAUCGGGACGGAAAGACCCCGUGAACCUUUACUAUAACCUGACAUUGGUAUUUGAUGCAAUAUGUGUAGGAUAGGUGGGAGACUUUGAAGCUGGCACGCUAGUGUCGGUGGAGUCACCGUUGAAAUACCACCCUUAUUUUAUCGGAUAUCUAACCUAAGGCCUUGAAUCAGGCCAAGAGACAGUGUCAGGCGGGUAGUUUGACUGGGGCGGUUGCCUCCCAAAGUGUAACGGAGGCGUGCAAAGGUUCCCUCAAGCCGGAUGGUAAUCGGCUGUAGAGCGCAAAGGUAUAAGGGAGCUUAACUGCGAGACCCACAAGUCGAGCAGAUGCGAAAGCAGGUCUUAGUGAUCCGGCGGUUGCGAAUGGAAGUGCCGUCGCUAAACGGAUAAAAGGUACUCCGGGGAUAACAGGCUUAUAGCGUCCGAGAGUCCAAAUCGACGACGCUGUUUGGCACCUCGAUGUCGGCUCAUCGCAUCCUGGGGCUGGAGAAGGUCCCAAGGGUUUGGCUGUUCGCCAAUUAAAGCGGUACGUGAGCUGGGUUUAGAACGUCGUGAGACAGUUCGGUCCCUAUCUGAUAUGAGCGCAGGAUAUUUGAGGAGAUCUGACUUUAGUACGAGAGGACCAGGUUGGACCAACCGCCGGUGCACCAGUUGUCACGCCAGUGGCAUAGCUGGGUAGCUGCGUUGGGAAAGGAUAAGCGCUGAAAGCAUAUAAGCGCCAAGCCAACUCCAAGAUUAGAUAUCCCAUAACAUUAGUUAUCUUAAGAUUCCUGGAAGAACACCAGGUUGAUAGGUCACAGAUGUAAGUUCCGUAAGGAAUUGAGUCGAGUGAUACUAAUAAAUCGUGAGGCUUGAUCGA